CAAAAUUACUAAAGAGUAACGCCAUCCUCCCCAACUCAAACCAGGGAAAGUAAGCUUGCCUAGGAACUUAGGCUGAAACUCACCACAGUGCCAAAAACCUGUUUUCUUGAAAAGAGGUAGUGCAGAUAGUGAAUCCACUGAGCCACAUAGGGUGGGAGUUUGCUUUAAGUGCUUUUCUUCUUGCCCACAAACUAGCGUAGGCUGUGACUGGCUCCAGCUGAUCCUUAUCAAGGCAGCUAGUUCUGAGGGCUUGGUUAAGAAGCUCUUCGUUUACUUAAGGGAGCAAAGAGAAGACACGUGAAUUGGAAAAGGAUAUCUAAAAUGUCCCCUAAGGCUUCAUAAAGUUGACAUCUUUCGUCAUGACUUCUACAGUUCAGGAAACCAGCAGGAGACUUUGAUUAAAGUGAGAAGCAGCCAAGAUUCCGGGAAGCGCGUCUUUCUCCUGUCUCCUCCCCAAGAUGUGCGGGUGUCCUUCCCCCAACACCAUGGAAGAAGGGGUCCAGGAAGAAAAUGUCACACUUGCCUGUGACCCCCACCUGGUCUGCAGAAAGGCAGAGAAGACCUGCUUAUGGAGGAAAAAGACGGCCUCUGUCUGGAGCUUCUAUGAAUUACAUAACGAAUAAGUGAUUUCACUACAAAGCAGUGAAAUUUUUAAAAGUUAACCAGUGGCAGAAGUGUCAGGACAGUCUGCACGGGCAAGAAUGAUACCUAAAUCACUACUCAGGCACAGGAGAGAGCAGGACUGGCAUGGCUGGCAGUUCUCUAUGUAGCAGGCGCUGUACUUUGGCCAAGCCAAUCUCCAUUUGCAACAUGUUUCUCCCUUACUUGACUCCACUAUAGAGAGAGUAAAAGCUAAAUUUUGAUGUUCCACCCCCACCCCCUUAUUGAUAUGAGAAAUAAGUCUUCUGGUGCAUUCCUCUCCAAUUUCUGUCUUCUUUCCACUUGAGCUGCCAGGAGAUGCAACAGUCGUUUUGAAACCAAAAAGAUAAAAACUGCAUACUAAGAAUGCAUGAACCUAAAGAUUUACAGAGCCUGGGACACUGGGGAUACUUGGAGUCAAUGUAUCAGCCUUGGACUGAUUCCCAUGGGACUUCUUAUUACCCAAGUGAAACAGUCCUUCCUUUCAUCUGUUAAGCCACUAUGGUAUGUUUUGCUGGUUCUCGUAGCCAAAUACAGUUUUGACUGC
rnacentral:lncRNA from 1 species